UUUUUUCGAGACCGGCGCACGGGUGAGUAACGCGUAUGCAACCUACCUUAUACGGGGGAAUAGCCCGAAGAAAUUCGGAUUAAUGCUCCAUGGUUUAUCGAUAUGGCAUCGUAUUGAUAAUAAAGAUUUAUCGGUAUAAGAUGGGCAUGCGUAUCAUUAGCUAGUUGGUGUGGUAACGGCAUACCAAGGCAACGAUGAUUAGGGGUCCUGAGAGGGAGAUCCCCCACACUGGUACUGAGACACGGACCAGACUCCUACGGGAGGCAGCAGUGAGGAAUAUUGGUCAAUGGAGGCAACUCUGAACCAGCCAUGCCGCGUGCAGGAUGACGGUCCUAUGGAUUGUAAACUGCUUUUGUACAGGAAGAAACCUCCCUACGAGUAGGGACUUGACGGUACUGUAAGAAUAAGGAUCGGCUAACUCCGUGCCAGCAGCCGCGGUAAUACGGAGGAUCCGAGCGUUAUCCGGAAUUAUUGGGUUUAAAGGGUUCGUAGGCGGCUUUGUAAGUCAGUGGUGAAAUUUCCUAGCUUAACUAGGACACUGCCAUUGAUACUGCAGAGCUUGAAUAAUAUGGAAGUAACUAGAAUAUGUAGUGUAGCGGUGAAAUGCUUAGAUAUUACAUGGAAUACCAAUUGCGAAGGCAGGUUACUACGUAUUUAUUGACGCUGAUGAACGAAAGCGUGGGGAGCGAACAGGAUUAGAUACCCUGGUAGUCCACGCCGUAAACGAUGGAUACUAGCUGUUCGGUUUUCGGACUGAGUGGCUAAGCGAAAGUGAUAAGUAUCCCACCUGGGGAGUACGUUCGCAAGAAUGAAACUCAAAGGAAUUGACGGGGGCCCGCACAAGCGGUGGAGCAUGUGGUUUAAUUCGAUGAUACGCGAGGAACCUUACCAGGGCUUAAAUGUAGAUUGACAGAUUUGGAAACAGAUUUUUCUUCGGACAAUUUACAAGGUGCUGCAUGGUUGUCGUCAGCUCGUGCCGUGAGGUGUCAGGUUAAGUCCUAAUAACGAAGCGCAACCCCUAUUGUUAGUUACCAGCGCGUAGUGGCGGGGACUCUAGCAAGACUGCCGGUGCAAACCGUGAGGAAGGUGGGGAUGACGUCAAAUCAUCACGGCCCUUACGUCCUGGGCUACACACGUGUUACAAUGGCAAGUACAGAAAGCAGCUACCUGGCAACAGGAUGCGAAUCUCCAAAGCUUGUCUCAGUUCGGAUUGGAGUCUGCAACUCGACUCUAUGAAGCUGGAAUCGCUAGUAAUCGGAUAUCAGCCAUGAUCCGGUGAAUACGUUCCCGGGCCUUGUACACACCGCCCGUCAAGCCAUGGAAGCUGGGGGUACCGGAAGUCGGCGACCGC
rnacentral:rRNA from 1 species